AGCUUUCUACAUCCUGGCUGAGAUUUCGUCAGGAACCAACCAGUUAGCAUUAAUGAGGCUCACAAGAUAAGUGUAGUG
rnacentral:pre_miRNA from 1 species